ACAGCAUCCACGGUAAUACAGAGGGUGCGAGCGUUAAUCGGAUUUACUGGGCGUAAAGCGUGCGUAGGCGGCUUUUUAAGUCGGAUGUGAAAUCCCUGAGCUUAACUUAGGAAUUGCAUUCGAUACUGGGAAGCUAGAGUAUGGGAGAGGAUGGUAGAAUUCCAGGUGUAGCGGUGAAAUGCGUAGAGAUCUGGAGGAAUACCGAUGGCGAAGGCAGCCAUCUGGCCUAAUACUGCCGCUGAGGUACGAAAGCAUGGGGAGCAAACAGGAUUAGAUACCCCGGUAGUCCCUGUCUCUUAUACACA
rnacentral:rRNA from 1 species